CUGAGAUCUAGAGGUAAUGUGAAAAGAAGAGAGAGUUAAAGUGAAUGUACAAGAGAGGACAGAAAAGCAGGAGUAAGAAAGAUGAGAUGUGAGAAAUACAUACAUAGAAAUGCGGUCCAGUUCUGAGAAGCACUGGAUUCAUUCGGCUACACCAGCACCUGUUUGGGGCUUAAGCUGCCCCUUUUCAGUUGACUAUGCAGAAAGCAUUCCUCAGAGUUCGAGCAUGGUGCAGGCUGUACUAUUUCACUCACAGCUGAUAAUUUCCCUAGAGGCAGGUGAGAUGCAGGAAGACAAAACCAAGGACUCACAAGAAAAAUUGCAUUAGUGGAGAAGUGGAGAGUACAGGGGGACUGAGUAGGCGAAGCUGGCCAGUAAUAUAAUAAUUCAAAGACCACAGGUAAAAACAGUCCCCUGGGAUGGGGCAGUUUGUCAAGCACUCAGUCAAGGAAGGAAAACAAGAAGCCAAAAAUUGUGGUGAAAUUGUUUUCCUGAAAGAGGAGCUGCUAUAAAUAGAGAUAUAAAUAGGGAUAGAAAGAACAGAAAAACAUCACAGCAAGCCUGCAUUCAGAAUGAGAUGCAGAUUCGAGCUCCUUCAUUCAGAAUGAGAUGCAGAUUCGAGCUCCAAGAAGGAAGAUCUUAGAUACGACUCUCCCAGGUGGGACGCACUCUCACUUGAGACUUGUUUCCAGGUGAUGGACAUGGGAAAGGUGAUGGCGUGUCACUCCCAGAUUUGCUUUAUGUUAUAUUAGACUCCAUUUCAGCAGACUGGGUCAUGAAACACUCUUUGCUGGCUUGAUAAAGAGGAUGGCCAUAUUGAUGAAGUCCAUGUGGCCAGGAAUGAUGGCUGACCCCUGGAAGAUGUGAGGAAGCUCAGGACCUGAGGUCAGUCCUUAGCCUGCAGCCAGUAGAAGGUGGUGCACUUGGUCAUACGGCCACAAGAAAAUGAAUUCUGCCAACAACCUGAAUGGGCUUGGAAGUGAACUCUUCCCCAGUCAAGCUCCAGAGGAGAAUGCAGCCCAGCCGACACCCUGACUUCAGUUUUGUGAGACCCCAAGAAGAGGACUCAGUUCAGCCCAAUGUCCAAAUUCCUAACCCAUGGAAACUGUGAGAUAAUAAAUAUGUGUUGUCUUAA